GCAUGUGAGAACUUUUGGCUGAUGAAUACAAGAUAACGCUCAUUCAUUCUCUUCAUUGCUAUGAAAUCAGUUUUUCCACUGCCUCCUGCAGAACCUCAACACAUCACUAGGUGGCAACAUCCCUACACCAUAUCGGUUUAGAAACCACGGUUAGGAGAAGCAGCAAAACACGCGGCAUCCCAGUAUGAUUUAGAAAGUAAAGUUUACAAUCUUUGAGGCCUGGCUGACUCAUGGAACAACUAGGACAAGAAACAAAGACAAAGAACACACACCUGACUGGACAGAGAUAAACCAAGAGCUGAGAGUUUUGGAAACAAGGCUGGAGCUGAGGAAAAGGACUGGGAACACAAACCUGUAACAAACAACAAACUCUUACAACAGAAAACAAGCCACUCCUGGCCAUCAAGAAACCCACAAAUCUCAGAAGCAAAAGCAAAACAAAUGAAAAUACAAACCAAAUAGUCUCUAUUACCUUCAUGCCUGUUGGGUCCCAAUAAAGGAAUCAUUCCAAUAAA
rnacentral:antisense_RNA from 1 species